rfam:Sus scrofa breed Duroc isolate TJ Tabasco Contig2345_1, whole genome shotgun sequence.
UCCCUGUUGGUCUAGAGGUUAGGAUUCAGUGCUUGCACCCCUAGGGCCUAGGUUCAAUCCCUGGUCUGGGAA